AUGUCCGCCCCGCCAUCGUCUGGCGACUGCGUCGUCGCUGCCCUAACGUCAGGCCCGACCACCUUGGCGUUCUGGCGGCCGGGCAUCGACUGCUGGUUGCGGGCGCCGACGGGGACGCUCGUUCCGUGCGACGCCCAAGACCUGGCGUACCAAGACGGAUGGUUCUGGGCCGUCACCCCCCGGGAUCUGCUCGUGUGCUACAAGCCGGAAACCGCCGACGGAGACGGCGCCUCUCUUACCAUUCGACAUCUCGUCUAUGGUCACCCAACGACCCCGACGGCGCCCGGGGAGGCCGUCUCCCGCUACCUCUUGCCCUCCGCCUCCGGCGCCCAUCUGCUGAUGGUGAAGAGGUUGGUCGCGCCGGCGAGAGGCGGCGCCACGUUGCGCUUCGAGGUCUUCAGCCUACACAAGGAACAGGACGGACGGUCGGCUUCCUGGCGCUCCUACCCGAUGAGCGGGCGGCUGCUCUUCGUCGGCCGCAGCUGCUCCAAGGCAUUCGACACCGGGCACGCCAGCAGCCCGGGCUACAUCUACUUCCUCGACGACGUCUACCCUAGGGGUCCGCGCAGCGUCCUUCAGCACAAAGUGUAUCCCUGCGUGGACACCGGCGCCUGGUGUUGCUCCCGUCAGGAAAUCAAGCGCUGCCUGCCAUGCUCGCCUCCCUCCGACAGCUCGCCCUGCAUUUGGUACCUUCAUUGA
rnacentral:rRNA from 1 species